rnacentral:lncRNA from 1 species
UGCCGACCCAGAGGGACAGCAGCACCAUGUCCCACAGGGUUGCAGGCGGCUGCAGUGGGGACCAUUCCCACCAGGUCUGGGUGAAAGCCUACUACCGCGGGGAUAUCAUGAUAACACAUUUUGAACCUUCUGUCUCCUUUGAGGGCCUUUACAAUGUGGUUCGAGACAUGUUCUUUUGACAACGAACAGCUCUUCACCAUGAAAUGGAUAGACGAGGAAGGAGACCCGUGUACAGUAUCAUCUCAGUUGGAGUUAGAAGAAGCCUUUACACUUUAUGAGCUAAACAAGGACUCUGAACUCUUGAUUCAUGUGUUCCCUUGUGUACCAGAACGUCCCGGGAUGCCUUGUCCAAGAGAAGAUAAAUCCAUCUACCGUAGAGGUGCACGCCACUGGAGAAAGCUUUAUUGUGCCAAUGGACACACUUUUCAAGCCAAGUGCUUCAACAGGCGUGCUGACUGUGCCAUCUGCACAGACUGAAUAUGGGGACUUGGAUGCCAAGGAUAUAAGUGUAUCAACUGCAAACUCUUGGUUCAUAAGAAGUGCCAUAAACUCCUCACAAUUGAAUGUGGGCGGCAUUCUUUGCCACUGGAACCAAUGAUGCCCAUGGAUCAGUCAUCCAUGCAUUCUGACCAUGCACAGACAGUAAUUCCAUAUAAUCCUUCAAGUCAUGAGAGUUUGGAUCAAGUUGGUGAAGAAAAAGAGGCAAUGAACACCAGAGAAAGUGGCAAAGCUUCAUCCAGUCUAGGUCUUCAGGAUUUUGAUUUGCUCCAGGUAAUAGGAAGAGGAAGUUAAGCCAAAGUACUGUUGGUUCCAUUAAAAAAAAAAAAAAAACAGAUCGUAUUUAUGCAAUGAAAGUUGUGAAAAAAGAGCUUGUUAAUGAUGAUGAGGAUAUUGAUUGGGUGCAGACAGAGAAACAUGUGUUUGAGCAGGCAUCCAAUCAUCCUUUCCUUGUUGGGCUGCAGUCUUGCUUUCAGACAGAAAGCAGAUUGUUCUUUGUUAUAGAGUAUGUAAAUGGAGGAGACCUAAUGUUUCAUAUGCAGCGACAAAGAAAACUUCCUGAAGAACAUGCCAGAUUUUACUCUGCAGAAAUCAGUCUAGCAUUCAAUUAUCUUCAUGAGUGAGGGAUAAUUUAUAGAGAUUUGAAACUGGACAAUGUAUUACUGGACUCUGAAGGCCACAUUAAACUCACUGACUACGGCAUGUGUUAAGGAAGGAUUACGGCCAGGAGAUACAACCAGCACUUUCUGUGGUACUCCUAAUUACAUUGCUCCUGAAAUUUUAAGAGGAGGAGAUUAUGGUUUCAGUGUUGACUGGUGGGCUCUUGGAGUGCUAAUGUUUGAGACGAUGGCAGGAAGGACUCCAUUUGAUACUGUUGGGAGCUCCGAUAACCCUGACCAGAACACAGAGGAUUCUCUCUUCCAAGUUAUUGUGGAAAAACAAAUUCACAUACCACGUUCUCUGUCUGGAAAAGCUGCAAGUGUUCUGAAGAGUUUUCUUAACAAGGACCCUAAGAAACGACUGGGUUGUCAUCCUCAAACAGGAUUUGCUGAUAUUCAGGGACACCCGUUCUUCCAAAAUGUUGAUUGGGAUAUGAUGGAGCAAAAACAGGUGGUAUCUCCCUUUAAACCAAAUAUUUCUGGGGAAUUUGGUUUGGACAACUUUGAUUCUCAGUUUACUAAUGAACCUGUCUAGCUCACUCCAGAUGUCGAUGACAUUGUGAGAAAGAUUGAUCAGUCUGAAUUUGAAGGUUUUGAGUAUAUCAAUCCUCUUUUGAUGUCUGCAGAAGAAUGUG